rnacentral:rRNA from 1 species
ACGCUCGACACCUACGGGCAGCAGUGGGGAAUAUUGCACAAUGGGGGAAACCCUGAUGCAGCGACGCCGCGUGAGUGAAGAAGUAUUUCGGUAUGUAAAGCUCUAUCAGCAGGGAAGAAGAUGACGGUACCUGAGUAAGAAGCCCCGGCUAACUACGUGCCAGCAGCCGCGGUAAUCUGAGCGGGCUGGCAAGGC